rnacentral:rRNA from 1 species
AUACGGAGGGUGCAAGCGUUAUUCGGAAUCACUUGGCGUAAAGGGCGCGCAGGCGGUUUGGUAAGUCAGAUGUGAAAGCCCACGGCUCAACCGUGGAAGUGCAUUUGAAACUGUCAGACUUGAGUACUAGAGGGGAAAGUGGAAUUCCCGGUGUAGAGGUGAAAUUCGUAGAUAUCGGGAGGAAUACCGGUGGCGAAGGCGACUUUCUGGCUAGAUACUGACGCUGAGGCGCGAAAGCGUGGGGAGCAAACAGGAUUAGAAACCCUAGUAGUCC